UACGGAGGGUGCAAGCGUUAUCCGGAUUCACUGGGUUUAAAGGGUGCGUAGGUGGGCAAGUAAGUCAGUGGUGAAAUCUCCGGGCUUGACCCGGAAACUGCCAUUGAUACUAUUUGUCUUGAAUACUGUGGAGGUCAGCGGAAUAUGUCAUGUAGCGGUGAAAUGCUUAGAUAUGACAUAGAACACCAAUUGCGAAGGCAGCUGGCUACACAAAUAUUGACACUGAGGCACGAAAGCGUGGGGAUCAAACAGG
rnacentral:rRNA from 1 species